GAGCUACGAAGAGAGGCAGAGGCAGAGGCACAGGCAGAGGGCGAGGCCCGAUGUGGGACUCGAUCCCGAGGCCCCGGAUUCACGCCCUGCGCCAAAGGCAGAUGCUCCACCGCUGAGCCACCCGGGCGCCCCCUGUCUGUGCGGUUCCGAGCAGGUGCUUCUCCUUUUGACCCUGACGGACUUCUGCUAUAAAACAAAGCUGGCAGUCGACAUCCCAGGACCACCGACUUUCUGCAAAGGAUAAAUAACACACAGAGGCAAUGUCCGGGAAGUGACAUGUGACAUUCCCCUCCCCCAUCCUCCCAUCCCCCGCACCCCCAGCCCCUGCUCUCUCGCUCUGGGGACCUGCAUUUCACCUGGACGUACGCUCAGGCAGGCCUGACUCCGGCCGUCCGCGUCAGCUAAGGCUUCACUGUCCGGCCACCUCUGCUUCCUUCCCUCAGGUGCAUGCUCACUCUUUUAAGAUCACCCCUCGGUCGCUCGUCGAUGACUGGCCCUGGCCUUCCACAUAAGUGUCUUUUGUCACAGGACCUGUUCAUUACUGCGUGACCACAGACAUUAUCACCGCACGGAGCUUAGAGCUUCGGAGGCACAGGCCGCGGGGCACCAAGCUCGGCAGCUCCGACGGAGCACCGCCACCACGCCACGACACCCGGGGCCCUGGAGCUCCGCCGGGCGCAAAGCGGCGCAGGCGUGUCGCGCUCUCCCAAAGCAGAGCGUUGCUAGGAAACCUUCCGGAAGCGGCCCUGUCGUAAAGCGCAGCGCGUCCUCCGGAAGCUCCCCGAGAGCGUGUCUCCCGCCUCUGCGCGUCCGUGAAGGGUCGCGCUGGUGCGUGCGUUCACCAACGGAAGGAAAUCCGGAAAUAAGCGGUUCCGGUGCCACCACCGCAGGUCGCUGGUGCCGGCGAGCUGUGCGGACCCCCAGGGUGAUCGGUUGCUUAUUUCCGGCCUAAACAGGAAAUGCCUGGCGUCGGAGCGCCUCGCCCUUCGGUGUGGAGACUGAGGCUUGAGGAGAAAUGCUGUGCCCAGUUCCAUGCAGGCAGCCACUGAGGGAGCUGGGAUUCAAACCCAAGCUGUCACAGUCCAGAAUCUACAUGCUACUCAAUUUCCUCCUUAGUUGAUGAGAAGAUAAUGAAGAAGAAAUGACAAAGGAUGGGUGGAUUGCAGGAAUCUGAGAGCAGAGGCAAGAAUAGUUGCCAGGACGGAAGAUCAGAUGUUGAUGGCUUGGACCAAGGGAGGAACAGUGGAGGUCUAGACUGAAUGUAUUCAGCUUCAUGUAUCAGCCUCAGAAGGGAGUACGGCAUAGCAAAAGAGCAGCUCUGAAAAGCAUGACAAAACAGGGAGAAAUGAUAAAGGAUUUAAAGAACUGCUCAGAUUUUUAAUUUCAGUUGAACAAUAAGGAAGCCCAUUAAAAUCUCAACUUAUUUGUGAGACUCAAUUAAUACCUGUCUCAAUAUAUUCUCUGGAAUCAUACCUCUGUUUCAAAGACUGUGGAUCAUUCUGGUUAUGUCACCACUUUUUUAAUAUAUAUAUAAAAAUAUAUUUGUGUUUGUAGGUAAAAUAUUUUUGAAUGGCUAAGAAAAAUAAUCUAAGAAUGGCUGCAGGCUUACUGCCUCAGUACAUUUAUUUUAAAAUACACAUGGACUAUAAAGAACUUAGAAGAAUGAAGUGAUUACAUCCUGUUAUUAUUACCAUCACUGCUGUUAAUAAGAUUCCGUAGAAACACUGGAGUAGAGGGCAAAGCCAUCAUUCAUACUCCUGAUGUGAUUUCACAGUCCUCAGCCACCUUCCUGAUCACUCCCUCGUCCUCCCCCAGGCUUGGUUUCUCCUGGAUUUACAGUACAUCCCCAAGUCAGCAGGGAUAAUGGGGAGCCAGUCUGAGUAAUCCCAAAUAGCCCUCUUUGUCCUUUCCCUGAGAAGCCUUUAAAUAUUUGAAGCUUUUCUUUCUCUCUUUAAACUUCAUUUUCUCGGAACAAAAUUCCCAGUUCCUUUAAGUGGUCUUUAUCUGACAGGGUUUCUAGAAAUUUCCAUUUGCACACAAUGUAACUUAACCAUUAAAGCAAAAAAAUUUCCUUGCCUUCUACUUUCCAUGUUAUACAUUAAUGUAUAUUUUUUCCAUAAAAGAUACUUGAAUUUACAUAACUAUUGUUUCAGAAACCAGAGAUGGAAAAAUUUAAUUGCAUUUACAUAAGCGAAAAUUCGGAAAAAUUGGGAUAGAAAACACCCCUAAGAGCAUCACUUUAUGAAUUAAGAAUGCCUGUGUAAUGGAUUACCACUUAAUUCCUUUUUUACAUAUAAAUACAUCCUGAUUGUGAUAUCUGAAAUACUUUUUAUACUUUUUUUUAUUGAUAUAUAUGGGCAUGUAACAUUCUGUUCGUUUCAGAUAUAUGACAUGAUUUGAUAUUUGUAUACAUUGUGAAAUGAAAGCCACAGUAAAUCUAGCCCAUACAGUUACAAAUUAUUUUUUUCUUGUGAUGAGAACUUUUAAAAUCUAGUGUCUUAGCAAUUUUCAAAAAGCCAAUACAAUAUUGUUAACUGUAGUCACCAUGCUGUGCUGUGUACAUAACGUCCUCAGGACUUAUUUAUUUUAUAACUAGAAGUUUGUACCUUUUAACCUCUUUCACUCAGUUUGCCCCACUCAUCCCCCUGCCUUUGGCAACCACCAAUUUGUUCUCUGUAUCUAUGAGUUUCGGGUUCUUACGGAUUUUUUUUUUUUGUUUUCAACGGUUAGAUUCCCCAUAUAAGUGAGAUCAUACUGUAUUUGUGUUUCUCUCACAAUUUAUACUUUUAUUGUAAAAAGUAAACUAUGCUUUGUGCUACUGUUUCAGGUUUUUUCUGAAAAAAGUAAAUUUGAAUUUUGAAUAAAGCAUCUAUGCAAAUAUACUUCUGUGCCUUUAAGUAUUUAUUUGUUCAAAGUUAACUUUUAACAAUUGAAGCUGUGUACUCUGAAUAUGUAUGCAUAUUCCUUCCAGGGAUUAAAUAUAUCUUCUAUAUUUUUUAAUGUCUUCUGUGAGGCAUGUGACUGAUGAAGUCUCAGGGAUGGAAUUGGGACAAGGGAUGAAGGUAUACAUGAAAACUGUAUAAGAAUUUCUUGAUAAC